rnacentral:rRNA from 1 species
ACGAAGGGGGCUAGCGUUGUUCGGAUUUACUGGGCGUAAAGCGCGUGUAGGCGGGCUGGAAAGUUGGGGGUGAAAUCCCGAGGCUCAACCUCGGAACUGCCUCCAAAACUUCCAGCCUGGACUCAAGUAGAGGCAAGUGGAAUUGCGAGUGUAGAGGUGAAAUUCGUAGAUAUUCGCAGGAACACCAGUGGCGAAGGCGACUUGCUGGACUUGUAGUGACGCUGAGACGCGAAAGCGUGGGGAGCAAACAGG